GAUCAUGGCUCAGGAUGAACGCUAGCUACAGGCUUAACACAUGCAAGUCGAGGGGCAUCAGGGUGUAGCAAUACACCGCUGGCGACCGGCGCACGGGUGAGUAACACGUAUCCAACCUGCCCUUUACUCGGGGAUAGCCUUUCGAAAGAAAGAUUAAUACCCGAUGGCAUAACAUGACUUCCUGGUUUUGUUAUUAAAGAAUUUCGGUAGAGGAUGGGGAUGCGUUCCAUUAGGCAGUUGGCGGGGUAACGG
rnacentral:rRNA from 1 species